UACAGAGGUCCCAAGCGUUGUUCGGAUUCAUUGGGCGUAAAGGGUGCGUAGGCGGCGCGGUAAGUCGGGUGUGAAAUCUCGGGGCUUAACUCCGAAACUGCAUUCGAUACUGCCGUGCUUGAGGUCUGGAGAGGAGACUGGAAUUUACGGUGUAGCGGUGAAAUGCGUAGAUAUCAGGAGGAACACCAAUGGCGAAGGCAGCUCGCUGGGACGGUACUGACGCUGAGACGCGAAAGCGUGGGGAGCAAACAGG
rnacentral:rRNA from 1 species